rnacentral:tRNA from 1 species
GGAGCUGUGCCUGAAUGCUUAAGGACUACUUUGAUAGAGUAAACCACGAGGGUUAAAGUCCCUCCGGCUCCU